CAGGAAUGAAAGUAUUGCAGACAGAGGAAGCAGCCAGUGCCAAAACCCCAAGGCAGGAGGGCACAUGACUUCCUCUGGGAACUGCAGGGGGCCACAGAGGCUAGAAUGUGUGAAGCAGAAGAUGGAGCAGAUGAAAGAGAUGAGAGGCUGUGAUGCCCACCUGAAGCCCUGCUGGAGAGGACAGCACUCCGAGGAGUAGCAGAGGAACCAGAUGGAAGUAGCCAUGGUCUGGGACAACCUCAUGUAGCAAAACGGCCCUCCUGGCCUGGACAGACAGCUGAGGGUGCAAGCCCCGAGAAAUGCGAGCCAUGGCUCUUCAUGGCUGAAGGAAUUGGUCACCUAACACUGACACGGUCUGGAAGAAUUAUUUUGAAGUAAGUACAUUCCUUCUACUUCCUACACUAUGUUAAGUGUCAUCCAGUCUCCUCAAGAGAGAAUGGCGGAACUUGGGGGUCAGCUGUGCUCCAGAUGAAGUCAGCUCCAGGUCUUGCCCUCUUGCCUGGCUCACAGAUGGAUGAAGUUUUAUAAAGUUCUUCUAAUUAUGUGCAAAACAAUAAAAUAUAAACCAACUACUUAUAUGUGCUGAGUCUGCUUGGCUUUCCCAGAACGUAGACUAUGGAGAGAUCAUGGAAAUUAUGGUUUAGAACUUCUCCUGUGGCUCUAACAAGGGGUUGAGCACAUGACUCUUGUUACUUCUCAAAUCCCAAAUGUAGGCACAGAAAUAUGAACUGGGAUUCUUUUUCUGACUUACAUGUACAUGAGUAGAGUCUUGUGGCUGCUAUUCCUCUUGCUGAGAACACAAUCAAGUAAUCACCAUACUUGCAUUUGGAGCCAUAAACCCUAAAGCCGUAACAUUUAAUUUUAUGUAACACGAUCACGCUGUAGAAGCUAAUGUGAUUCCCUGGAGCAGGGCGUCUUCUGUGCCAAGCCAUUUUGUAGAGUCUGCUAUAUCAGAUUUUGUUAUCGUUUAUGUUAAGCCUAUUUUAUUUAAAACUUGAGUCUGGUUUGCUUAGAGUAAAUACCGUCUGCUUGCACUCAAUUUCAAUAUGUUCUGUUUGGCAGCAUUGUGCAUUGUAAAGAAAAAAAAAAAGAUAAAGGCUGUUUUGUGGCACACCAAGAUAAGAAAUAGUUUGCACAUCCAGUUCUGUUGUUGAAAGUCAUCUCACUCAGAUAGCGAAUUAUCCAUAAUGACUUAAAAAUAAUAACUUCAAGAGCAGUCUUUUAUUGUUAAGAGUCUUUAUGUGUGCGUGUGUGUGCGUUGAGUGCUCACUCAAAAUAGGGGUCCAUAAAUUGCUACUAAUGUAGAGUGUCUGCAUUUCUUGGCAUUAUAAAACUUCCCUAGAGGCAUUUUCAUAGUUGGGAACUUGGUAGCCCAGCAAUUCUGAGCUUCUUGUUCUUACAUUAAAAUAAUUUGCAUAGUAGCUCCAUGGUGACCUCAAAUUAAGUGUCUGUGGAGAAUUCUAGCUGUACUGUGAACCAGGCUGGGUCAGAAGGAAGGCUCCGUAGCUGCCAAACGCAACAUCUGUGCAAUGUAUUUCAUUGUAUUCUUGCCUGGGUUUAUAGGGAUUCUUAGGGGCUUAAGGGAGUCGUCAUGAACACUCUGAAACUGUACUUGAACUUGUGUGUGUGUGCGUGUGUUGUCUGCUUGCACAUAUUUGGUUAUUUUUAUAGGAAGAGAGUCAAAAUCUGUCACAGCUCUUUAAAAGGCUCCAUGAACCCACCCAUUUCCCUGAAGAAAAGGACUCAGAAGCAGUGAUGUAAAGAAUCGUUUCUAUCAACGAGAAGAGACUCCUCUUUCAGAAAGCAGGAACCAUACGUAGCAGAAGUGAUAACAAUGACUUACUAAAAGGCACUAGACACAGUCACAUGACACAUAACGAUGUCUCCAUCAAGGAUGGGCCGCACACCCAACAGUGGCCCCAUGAGAUGAGACUACUGUAUUUUUCUGCACCUUUUCUGUGUAUGCAUACACAAAUACUUGCCAAUGUGUUACAGUUGCCUAGGGUAUUCAUGCUGCACAGGUUUGUAGCCUAGGAGCUAUUGGCUACACCACAUAGCCUGGGCAUGUAGUCAACUGUACCAUCUUGGCAUGUGGUGACAACGCAUAUCUCAGACCAUGUCCCAUGGUGAAGCAACAUCUGACUAUAUUGAGGUAGCCAGUGUGUGGCCUACAGGGCAGGAGACAGGCCUUAAAAGUUCUACUGCUUGGCCGGGCGCAGUGGCACCUGUAAUCCCAGCACUUUCAGAGGCCAAGGAGGGCAGAUUACGAGGUCAAGCGAUUGAGA
rnacentral:lncRNA from 1 species